GUCUACGGCCAUACCACCCUGAACGCACCCGAUCUCGUCUGAUCUCGGAAGCUAAGCCGGGUCGGGCCUGGUUAGUACUUGGAUGGGAGGACCCUCUUCCUAGGAGAAUUGGAGAUACAGGAGAAU
rnacentral:rRNA from 1 species